rnacentral:rRNA from 1 species
GAUGAACGCUGGCGGCGCGCCUAACACAUGCAAGUCGAACGAUUAAAGCACCUUCGGGUGUGUAUAAAGUGGCGAACGGCUGAGUAACACGUGGGCAACCUGCCCCUUUCAUUGGGAUAGCCACGGGAAACCGUGGAUAAUACCGAAUACUUCGAGACUUCCGCAUGGAAGACUCGAGAAAGCUCCGGGGGAGGGGGAGGGGCCCGCGGCCUGUUGGCUUGUUGGGGGGGUGACGGCCUACAAAGGCAAGGAGGGUAGCCGGGCUGGGGGGGUGACCCAGCAAGAUUGGGACUGGGACACGCCCCAGCCCCCUACGGGAGGAAGCAGUGGGGAUUCUUGAACAAUGGGCGAAGGCCUGUGGAAGCGACGCCGCGUGCGGGAUGCAGGCUUUCGGGUUGUAAACCGCUUUGAGCAGGGACGAGGCGAAAGUGACGGUACCUGCAGAAGAAGCCCCGGCUAACUACGUG